rnacentral:rRNA from 1 species
GGGUCAGUAGGUUGGUCGUGCCACCGGUACGUACUGGUCUCACUGAUUCCUCCUUCCUGAAGGACCGUAAUGCCAUUAAUUUGGUGUUGCGGGGAAACAGGACUGUUACUUUGAAAAAAUUAGAGUGUUUAAAGCAAGCUAACGCUUGAAUACAUUAGCAUGGAAUAAUGAAAUAGGACGAUCGAUCCUAUUUUGUUGGUCUCUAGGAUUGACGUA